GAACGAUCUUGCCAUUGUUGGAGACUAUACUGCUCGCUUCAGACAAGCAGUUGUCUCUAGUGGGAACAACUCUCUUGAUCUCUGUUCCAUCUGGUAAUUCUUGCAAACCCAUUUUGUGAACCUCUAGAAAUGGUUUGAUGUCUAUCUUCGCAUCUCCCAUCUUGUCGUGCGAUGUGAAUGUAUCUUUAUCAUACACUGUCUGUUUUAAAAAACUGAUUAGUAACUUAUUGUCGAUUGGUUUUGAGUUGGAAACGACGGGUAGUAGUACUCACCAGAUUCACAGGUUCAUUGGGGUUUUUUAUCGCAAGGGUCAAUUCCUCGUUCCACUCAGGGUUACAGUUGUUUUCUACAGUACGCGACUUCAGCUUCUGGUGCAAUUCAAAGAACUCAAUUAGAGAGUACAUGCAAGAAAUAUAAUAAACAUACUUAGAUCAAAUGUCUUCAAGUCGUUUAAUCUAUCAAAAUCAGAUUACUGGAAACUAUCUAUUGUUUCAUUGCAACAUGAAAUUAGUACUUUCUUGUUUUGUCUUUAACCUUGAAACUAAAAUCUAUUAUGCUUUUUUAAGGUUGAUUCUUUAGAUAAACAAGAGAGAUUUUUAUCUCAAGAACAGAGACAGAAACAUGAAACAAAUCUAAAUCAAGAGACCUAGAAGACCAAAUCAGAUUAUAAAUGAAAGAGACAAUAAAAAGAAAAAAGGACCUGUGAACCCAUGGUUAUGAGGACAAAAGGGUCGCUGCUUAAAGAGUCACGAAGAGCAAGAUUGAUCCCUCUCUUAAUUCGGAUUCUUAGAAGCCCUACAAGGUCCUCCAUCUCUCAACCUCUUCCUCUGUUUUCUCUCUAUGUUAUAUCUUCUGAAUUUUGAUCGAUGUCUCUCUCAAUAAGGCUCUGAGUAUUCUACUUUUUCUUUUUCCUUCAGAAAAUAUUAUCGGCUCAAAUUCAACGAGUCCACUUAAAAAUUGGCUUAUCAACGGACGAAAGAGCGAGUAAAGAAACAAGAAUAAAGACCAAUCUAAUAUAGUAUUAUUAAAGGUUUCUUUUGCCAGGUGUUUGUUUCCUUAUUAUUCUCAUCUAAGCGUUACUCUCACGAACAUCUUUGGUAAUAAUAUCCUCUAGAUUCUUCUUUUUGGCAAUUGAGAAAACUACAAGUCAACUCGCGGGAAAGAAUAAAAACGAUUUCGGUUAGAUCUAAAACCAAAAUAUUUCAAUUACAAAGCAGAGUAAGUUAAGUACUCUGUUUCUACUUAUUGUUACUUUGUCUGAAACCCAAAACAAAACAAACUGAGGUUUCUUUUUAUUUAUUUUUACAGAGAAAGUGAGAGAGAUCAUAAAGAGCCUUCAUCUCUGUUUCAGAGUCCACAACCACCUGGAUUUUUAAUCCACUCAAGCUGAAUCUCGACUUUGCCAC
rnacentral:lncRNA from 1 species